GUGCUGUCUUCAGCAGCACAUAUACUUAAAUUGGAAUGACAGAGAAGAUUAGCAUGCCCCUGUGCAAGGAUAACAUGCAAAUUGGUGAAGUAUUCCACAUAUUU